GUUAAAAGCACUUGGACUAAAACCAAGAGUUUAAAAUUCAUCAUAUCCAAAAAUUUCUAUUGAUAGACCAGAAACUAGGUCUAAGAAAAUAUAGUUUAUAACCAAAAUUGUAAAAUGUAAAACAGGUUUUCACAUGCCAAGAUACUUAAAAAUAUUUUUCCCACUAUAUAGUUCACAUCCAAACUGUAAGCUGUGGUCUCAUGGAUUUGGGUUUGUAUAGAGUACAAGGUCAUAGCCCCUGAAGUCAUUAUCAAGCCAGUGUGAAUGCAAAUGAUGAGUAGAGUUUCAAUUAUACAUAUAUUCAGAUAAGUAAGAAUUUUUAUACAGAAUUCAAAAUGGAAAUAGUUAUCAAUUUUAAACAUUCUCUCCAUGAAUGAUCUGAUGGUAUACAGCUAUUUUGUUAUUCAUUUUCCUUACAUUACUAUGUAAAGCCCUGGAGACUAACAUGAAAAAUGAAGCAGGUCCUGUCAGUAUAAAUUUCCUGUGUAAUUUUAAAGACUCUGUCUAAUAUCAGCAUAUAAAUAACUUACUUUAAAAUGCCAUAAUUAAAAAAAAAAUAAAAUAGUGUAGCCUUACAAAAAAAGAGACAUGAUUAUAUUUAAUUUAAUUAAGUAUAAUUCAUAAGAACAAAUUUCUAUGAGAGAAAAUUCGAAGCUGUGGAGAUUUCCUCCUGCUUUUCAGUAGAAGUGAGGCUAAUUUCAGGCUUAAGAGACCAAAGAGUCUGUCAGUCAAAUAGCAACUAACUUCAGGUACUGUCACAUUGCUAGUCAGUACCCAGUAAAUGAUGUUAUUUGGACUCAAAUUUGGCAUGUGUGAACUGAAAAUUUCUAUUGUGAGCUACAUCUUGUGUUUCUGUGCACAAAGAUUUUAUGCAUCCUUGCUUUUCUCACUAGGAAUGACAGGCCAAUAUUUUUCUUUUCCUUUUCAUGUUGUCAAAGACCAAGAUCAUCUUUUAGCCUAGAACAACAUGAGUGAAAAUCCAAUACAAAUCAAAAAAUUGGCACCCUACAACCUAAGCUCACAUAGUCCUCCUAGAUUCUGAAGAGUGCUGCAUACUGCCUCGUGGGACCAGGAAGCUGGGUGUAACUCCUCAAACAUAAUGCAAAAACAGGUGAGUAAUCUGAACUAGAAGAAAUAAAUGAAGCAAUUCUUGUAUCAUCAGUCCUUGGAAAAACUUUAAGAACUCUUAUUCUCCACAGUGAUUCUUCACUAGUAAACCAUGUUGUCACAUAAUUUGUUCAUCUUUUCAACACUAUUAAUCUCCUUUGUUCUACUAUUGCUCACAGACAGAAGUGGAAGCUGUUCGUCUACAUUGUUUAUAGAUAAAAUUAUUCUUUAACUCUAUUCCAUGAUUUCAUACAUUUAUCACAGGCUGCCCUCUUGCAUGAAAACACAAAGGAAUAAAUUUUAAAAUC